rnacentral:tRNA from 1 species
GGUGGCUCAGUGGUAGAGUGCUUGCCUUGCAAGCAUGAGGUCCUGGGUUCGAUUCCUCAGCACCA